CCAUUGUUUUGUUUUUGGUAAAAUUUGAGACCAUCCUUUUUUUAUUGAAAUGUUGAGACCAUCCUUUAACAUGUUGAUUUAUUUAAAAAAAUAUUGGAAGUCUUAAACGACCAAAGCAUUGGAAAUAGGAGAUUAAUUAAGGCUUUAGACUAUCAAAACAUGCUUCCAUUAUUCUUCUUGAAAAAUAUUGGGAACCCACAAGCCUUUAACAAAUCCAAUUUCCCAACUACCCACUAAUUUUUCUUGCAUCAGGGAUUCAGGUUUGAAUCUAUGCUUAUAUAUCUACUAUAUAAUUGUGAAAUCUAGGGCACCAACAUAGGCGUGGAAUCUGUGCUUAUCCAUUGCGAAGACUGAGGUCAAAGUCGCCAGAAAAAUUCCAAACACUAGCAAGUUUCAUGGAAAGUUCGGAAGCAUCAAAGCCCAAAGGAGACCUCCAAACCUGUUGUACCCAAGGAACUAAGUCCCAGUGGUUGAUGGGAUGAAAGAUGAUCGUCGGUGCCCAUUGGUUUUACAAACUGAAUCCUUAAUCUCUGAGAUUUUCUGUUGAUCUCCCUGCACAUAACAAUGCCCAUGAAGUCAAUCCUGCAAAUGGUGCUAAGGUUAACCCAAAUGAUCAAAAUAAGAGUGAUGGAGAAUAGUGGAAAUGCUCUCACAAAUAAUUUAGAAGUAGUCUUCAAAUUAAGAAUAAUCUUAUGUUUAAUCAGAUCCUUUUGUACUUCUUUUUCCAUUGAGUGAUGAGUUUUUUUUAUAUGAUAAUUUUUUUUUAUUUGAGUGAAUAAUAAUGAAAGUCAUUUUUAUCUCAUGGCAGGUUUUACUAUUUGCAAGAAGUUUAUUCAUAUUUGUAUUGUACUUGAAAGGGCUUACUUGAUUAAUGUAAUUUUAGUUAAGGGUAAGCAAGAAAUAGCUUACCUAAUUUAUUUUAGUUUUGAAUUAUUUUAUGCACUAAAAAAACUAUUAUUAAUGACUAAUUCAAAUUGGACUCCCACUAAUAUU